rnacentral:pre_miRNA from 1 species
UCUCUGCUUACAGUGUCUGGGGGGAUCAUGCGGCAGCCCCGGUGACUGGAAGCAGCGUUGACU